CCGGAUCGGAGUCUGCAACUCGACUCCGUGAAGUCGGAAUCGCUAGUAAUCGUGAAUCAGAAUGUCACGGUGAAUACGUUCCCGGGCCUUGUACACACCGCCCGUCACACCAUGGGAGUGGGCUGCAAAAGAAGUGGGUAGUUUAACCUUCGGGAGGACGCUCACCACUUUGUGGUUCAUGACUGGGGUGAAGUCGUAACAAGGUAGCCCUAGGGGAACCUGGGGCUGGAUCACCUCCUUAAACGAUAGAU
rnacentral:rRNA from 1 species